rnacentral:rRNA from 1 species
CAGCCGCCGCGGUAAUACAGAGGAUGCAAGCGUUAUCCGGAAUGAUUGGGCGUAAAGCGUCUGUAGGUGGCUUUUCAAGUCCGCCGUCAAAUCCCCGGGCUCAACCCUGGACAGGCAGUGGAAACUACCAAGCUGGAGUACGGUAGGGGCAGAGGGAAUUUCCGGUGGAGCGGUGAAAUGCGUAGAGAUGUGGAGGAACACCAGUGGCGAAGGCGACUCUCUGGUCUGUAACUGACGCUGAGGAGCGAAAGCGUGGGGAGCGAACAGGAUUAGAUACCCCAGUAGUCCCUGUCUCUUAUAC